rnacentral:rRNA from 1 species
AUUGAACGCUGGCGGCAGGCCUAACACAUGCAAGUCGAACGAGUGGCGGACGGGCGAGUAAUGUCUGGGAAACUGGCUGAUGGAGGGGGAUAACUAGUGGAAACGGUAGCUAAUACGGCAUACCAACAGAUGAGCCCAGAUGGGAGUAGCUAGUUGGUGGGGUAACGGCUCACCAAGGCGACGAUCCCUAGCUGGUCUGAGAGGAUGACCAGCCACACUGGAACUGAGCCACGGUCCAGACUCCUACGGGAGGCAUCAGUAGGGAAUAUUGCACAAUGGGCGCAAGCCUGAUGCAGCCAUGCCGCGUGGAUGAAGAAGGCCUUCGGGUUGUAAAGUACUUGCAGCGGGGAGGCGUUACCCGCAGAAGAAGCACCGGCUAACUCCGUGCCAGCAGCCGCGGUAAUAC